ACCCGCGGACGCGCUGCGCCUGCGCAAACGUGGCUGCCAGCUUACAAGACGCGCGCCGGUUUUUUUGCGUCAUCACAGGGCGCCGGAGAAAUUGAAUCUACCCAGAGGGCGAUUCCGGAAAGGCGCCUGCUGUGUAGCCAGGAUGUGAACUGGCAGAAGCUCGUGCCGCCAUGCUGGAUCAGGGCGGAUGCUGCUGGAAUAGGAAGGUGUUUGAACAUUGGAGCUAAACUCAGAGCCCUGGUUAUUUGACUCAAAGCUGGUGCAUUCCAAUACAGUUGUCUUCCCUUAUCUGCUGAAAAUACAGUCCAAGACCCCCAGUGGAUACCUGAAACUGCAUAUAGUACCGAACCAUUUAAUGAAACCACAGAAAGUGAAACCUCAGCUAAAGGAGGACUAUUGUAUAGCAAAGCCAAUCAGCUGGGGGCUGUUUCCCUACUAUGCCAUGAGAGUCGCAGACUAUUCUUGCCUUUCUUUUUAGACACGUGAUUCCUUGAAUGCUUUUCUUGCUCCUUCUACCUGUUCAAUUCAGUAAACUUUAUGCUCUGUAAUAAAGAAUUCGACUGGA